rnacentral:piRNA from 1 species
UGUUUAUCUUAGGUUUACACAAGUG